rnacentral:rRNA from 1 species
GACGAACGCUGGCGGCGUGCUUAACACAUGCAAGUCGAACGGUAAGGCCCUUCGGGGUACACGAGUGGCGAACGGGUGAGUAACACGUGGGUGAUCUGCCCUGCACUUCGGGAUAAGCCUGGGAAACUGGGUCCAAUACCGGCUAGGACUCCUGGCUUCAUGGCUGGGGGUGGAAAGCCUUUGCGGUGUGGGAUGGGCCCGCGGCCUAUCAGCUUGGUGGCGGGGUAAUGGCCUACCAAGGCGACGACGGGUAGCCGGCCUGAGAGGGUGACCGGUCACACUGGGACUGAGAUACGGCCCAGACUCCUACGGGAGGCAGCAGUGGGGAAUAUUGCACAAUGGGCGCAAGCCUGAUGCAGCGACGCCGCGUGAGGGAUGACGGCCUUCGGGUUGUAAACCUCUUUCAGCUAUGACGAAGCGCAAGUGACGGUAGUAGCAGAAGAAGGACCGGCCAACUACGUGCCAGUCGCCGCCGUAA